rnacentral:rRNA from 1 species
UACGUAGGGGGCGAGCGUUAUCCAGAUUUACUGGGCGUAAAGCGCGUGUAGGCGGCUGGUUAGGUGUGAUGUGAAAUCCUCGGGCUCAACCCGAGAACUGCAUUGCAAACCGGCCUGGCUAGAGUGCAGGAGAGGGAAGCGGAAUUCCAGGUGUAGCGGUGAAAUGCGCAGAUAUCGGGAAGAACACCCGUGGCUAAGGCGGCUCUCUAGUACGGUACUGACGCUGAGACGCGAAAGCGUGGGGAGCGAACAGG